GUGAGUUGGCUCAGUGGUUAAGAGCACUGGAUAUGCUUCCAAAGGUCCUGAGUUCAAAUCCCAGCAACCACA
rnacentral:tRNA from 1 species